rnacentral:tRNA from 1 species
GGGCCUGUGGCGCAAUUGGCAGACGCAUUCGCCUCAAAAGCGAAAGAGUGCAGGUUCGAACCCUGCCUGGCCCACCA